rnacentral:tRNA from 1 species
AAGACCACAAAAAAGGCUGCUAACCUUUACCUAAUGAUUUCAUUUGGUCUUU